AGAUGAGAUACUGCCAUAACCUGUAGUUAUACCCUGUGGUCUCACCAAAACAAGGAUGCCAGGAUUCAUUAGUUCAUUAGUAUAAGCCACACUGCACAUUGGGAUCAUCUCGGAAAAUGUGCAACUUGGUCUCAAAAACCCUGUGAAAUACAAAUUGUGACAGUCCAAGCUCCCUGGUCAUUUCUUUUUUGUUUGCUUGUUUUGGAGAUAGCAUCUCACUCUGUCGCCCAGGCUGGAAUGCAGUGACGUGAUCUCGGCUCACCACAACGUCUGCCUCCUGGGUUCAAAUGAUUUCCGUGCCUCAGUUUCUCAGGAGGCUGAGGCAGGAGAAUUGCUUGAACCGGGACCCGGGAGGUAGAGGCAGCAGUGAGCCAAGAUCGUGCCACUGCACUCCAGCCUGGGCUGCAGAGCGAGACUCUGUCUCAAAAAGAAUUGCUCAGGUGAUAAAGGACAUGAAUAUUUUUAAAAAUUUAUUCUUUAAAUUAAUAUAUCAUAAAGCUCAUUCUUUUGGAGUACAGUUCCACGAGUUUUUAAGAAAUGCACAGAUCUGUAACCAUCACCAUAGGAGAGUUCCAUCACCUCCCCAUAUUCCCUUGAGCAGCCUCUUGGCCCCUUGUAGUUAAACCCUACCCUCAACCUAUCCCUGUUUCCCUUUUGUUUAACCUCUGGUGACCUCUGAGCUGUUCUCUGCCCCUAUAUUUUUGCCUCUUCCAGAAUGUCACCUAAAUGGACUCAUGCAGUAUGUAGCCUUUUGGAUCUAACUUCUUUCUACUUGGCGUCAUGCAUUUCAGAGAACUUCAUUAUGUUGCAAGUGUCAACAGCGUGUUCCUUUUUAAGGCUGAGUAGCAUUCCAUCGUGUGGAUACACCACAAUUUGUUUACUUUCACCAGUUGAAGGACAUUUGUGUUGUUUCCUGAUUUUUCAGCAAUUAUGAAUGAAACGUCUAUCAAUAUUGGCAUACAGGCUUUUGUGUAAACAUAUGUUUACAUUUCUCCUGGCUAAAUACCCGGGAGUGAGAUGGCUGGGUCAUGUGAUAGGAAACCUCCAAACCGUUUUCUAAAGCGGAUAAGCCGUUCUUCAGUCCCAGCAGAGUUCUAGUUGCUCUGCACCCUCACUAGCCCUUGGCCUCAUCACUUUUUUGUUUUGUUUUGUUUUUAAAACUUGAGCCAUUCUAAUGAGUGUAGUAGUGGUCUCUGGUGACUUUCAUUUGUAUUUCCCUAAUGACUAAUGAUGUCGAGCAUCUUUUCAUGUGCUCAUUUGCCAUCUGUACAUCUUCUUUGGUGUCAAAAUCUUUUGCUUGUUUUUUAAUCCAUUUGUUUAAUUAUGGUAGAGUUUUGAGAGGCUUUUUAUUUUGAGAUGGAGUGUGGCUCUGUUGCCCAGGCUGGAGUGCAGUGGCGCAAUCUCGGCUCACAGCAACCUCCGCGUCCCAGGUUCAAGCAAUUCUCCUGCCUCAGCCACCCGAGUAGCUGGGACUACAGGCACACGCCACCCUGCCUGGCUAAUUUUUGUAUUUCUAGUAGAGACGGGGUUUCACCAUAUUGGUCAGGCUGGUCUUGAACUCCUGACCUCAGGUGAUCCACUUGCCUCAGCCUCCCAAAGUGCUGGAACUACAAGUGUGAGCCACUGUGCCCGGCCCCGAGAGUUCUUUUUCUGUAUUCUGCAUAGAGGACCUUUGUCAGAUAUGUGAUUUGCAUUUCUUUUUCUCCCAGUCCCUGGCUUGCCUUUCCCUCUUCUUAACAGUGCCUUUGGAGAUCGAAAGUUUUUAAUCUUGAUGAACUGCCAAUUUAUCAGUUUUUCUUUUUUUUUGUUUUAUGAAUUGUGCUUUUGGUGUUACGUCUAAGAAUUUUUUGCAUAACUUAAGUUUGCAAAGGUUUUCUCCUAUUUUUUUUUUCUAAAAGUUUUACGUUUUACAUUUAAGUCUACUAUCUAUUUGAAGUUUCAAAAAAAUAUGGUGUCAGGUAGAGUUCAAGGUUGAGUUUUUUUUUUUCAUAUGGAUGUUAAAUUGUCCCAGCAGCAUUUAUUGAAAAGACUGUAUUUUCUCCAUUGAAUUAACCUUUCGCUUUUGUAAAAAGUUCGUGAGCCAUAUUUGUUUGGUUCUGUUUUUGGACCCUUCAUUCUGAUUCAUUGGUUUUUGUGCGUAUCCUUUCUCCUUUCACAUUUUAGAAUCAGCUUGCCAAUAUCUACAAAAAAUCCUAAUGGCACCAGGCGUGGUGGCUCACGCCUGUAAUCCCAGCACUUUGGGAGGCUGAGUCGGGUGGAUCGUUUGAGGUCAGGAGUUUGAGACCAGCCUGGCCAACAUGGUGAAACCCCAUCUUUACUAAAAAUACAAAACUUAGCUGGGUUUGGUGGUGCGCGCCUGUAAUCCCAGCUACUUAGGAGGCUGAGGCUAGAUAAUCGCUUGAACCCGGGAGGCGGAGGUUGCAGUGAGCAGAGAUUGCACCCCUGCACUCUGGCUUGGGCGACAAAGCAAGACUCCAUCUCAGAAAAACAAAUCCCAAUGGGAUUUUGACUGGGGUUGCACUGAAUCCAUAAACCAAUUUGGAGGAAAUUGACAUCUUAAUAAAUAUAGAGUUUUCCAUUUUAUGAACAUGGUAUAUUCUCCAAAGUCUUUGAUUUCCUUUAUCAGUGUUUUGUGGUCUUCAUCAUACAUACUCUACCGUUGGUUAGAUUUAUACCUCUAAGUGUUUUAUGGUACUAUUUUAAAUUAUACUGUAUUUUAAAUUUCUAAUUGCUCAUUGCUAGUAUAUAGAAAUAUAAUUGACUUUGUAUGUGCUAGCCCUGUAUCCUCCAACCUCACUAAACUCAUUUAUUGGUUCUAAGAAUUUUUUGGUAGAUUCCUUGGAAUUUUCUGUCAUGUCUAUGAAUAGUGACAGUUUUAUAUCUUCCUUUCAAUCUGUAUGCUAUUAAUUUCAUUUUCUUACCUGAUUGUACUGGCUAAGACUUGCAGUAUAAUGUUGAAGGGAGGAGUAAGAGCAGACAGUCUUGCCUUAUUUCUGAUGUUAGGGGAAAAUCAUUGAGUGUUUCACAUUGAGUGUGAUGUUACCUGUAGGUUUUCGGUAGAUGAACGGUAUGCAUAUUUGAAAAGCCACCACUGUCCUGAAAGAUGUCACAAUAUAGAAAUGGUAUAGAUUUGGAGUUCAGAGAAUAAGUUCUGGAGUCAGACUUACUGGGUUUGAAUUCUGACUCGACUCCUUAGCGGCUGCUAGAUGUUGGAGUUUUGGGAAGAUAGGCUAAGCGAAUACAUGUAAAAUGCUUAGAAUGGUGCCUAGUAUAUUGUAUGCUCUCAAUGAAUGUUAGUUGUUAUUCUGUUUGGACAACAGUAAAAAUAGCCAAAGAGCUCAUGGAGCCUGGAUGUAGGAAUUUUUUGGCCCAGACCGUGGGGAUUUUGAUGCCCAUAUUGGAAACUUUGGAGAAUGUUUUGGUUCAGGUGUGGAUUCUUAUUGAGUCAUUGAGCACAUUUGGGUCCGAACACUCUCUGAAUCAGGGAUAUGGAGGAAUCCAUACCAAAAGAACAGGUUGUUUCAUAGAAACAGGGAGGGGAACAUCACACACCG
rnacentral:lncRNA from 10 species